rnacentral:rRNA from 1 species
GCACAAGCGGUGGAGCAUGUGGUCUAAUUCGAAGCAACGCGAAGAACCUUACCAGGUCUUGACAUCCUCUGACACUCCUAGAGACAGGACGUUCCCCUUCGGGGGACAGAGUGACAGGUGGUGCAUGGUUGUCGUCAGCUCGUGUCGUGAGAUGUUGGGUUAAGUCCCGCAACGAGCGCAACCCUUGUUCUUAGUUGCCAGCAUUUAGUUGGGCACUCUAAGGAGACUGCCGGUGACAAACCGGAGGAAGGUGGGGAUGACGUCAAAUCAUCAUGCCCCUUAUGACCUGGGCUACACACGUGCUACAAUGGAUGGUACAAAGGGCUGCAAAACCGCGAGGUUGAGCCAAUCCCAUAAAACCAUUCUCAGUUCGGAUUGUAGGCUGCAACUCGCCUACAUGAAGCCGGAAUCGCUAGUAAUCGCGGAUCAGCAUGCCGCGGUGAAUACGUUCCCGGGC